rnacentral:lncRNA from 1 species
AAAAAACAACCGGUCUACAAACUUCUUAUCACGUCACGUGAAAGUAGAGAAUUCGCCAAAACCAUAAAGGUUUCAAAACCCAAGAAAACUUAUUCGAUAAAAACAACAAUUUAAAAACACCAUUACAUCACUCGAGAUCUUCAUCGACUUAGGCCUUGGACAUGUGAAUGAUCAAGUCGACCACACGGGUACUGUAACCCCAUUCGUUGUCGUACCACGACACCAGCUUCACAAAGUUGUCACUCAACGCGAUUCCAGCCUUUGCGUCAAAAAUGCUCGACCUGUUGUCACCAACGAAGUCGGUCGAGACAACAUCAUCCUCGGUGUAACCAAGGAUUCCC